rnacentral:rRNA from 1 species
AGUGAACGCUGGCGGUAGGCCUAACACAUGCAAGUCGAACGGCAGCACAGGAGAGCUUGCUCUCUGGGUGGCGAGUGGCGGACGGGUGAGGAAUACAUCGGAAUCUACUCUGUCGUGGGGGAUAACGUAGGGAAACUUACGCUAAUACCGCAUACGACCUACGGGUGAAAGCAGGGGACCUUCGGGCCUUGCGCGAUUGAAUGAGCCGAUGUCGGAUUAGCUAGUUGGCGGGGUAAAGGCCCACCAAGGCGACGAUCCGUAGCUGGUCUGAGAGGAUGAUCAGCCACACUGGAACUGAGACACGGUCCAGACUCCUACGGGAGGCAGCAGUGGGGAAUAUUGGACUAUGGGCGCAAGCCUGAUCCAGCCAUACCGCAUGGGUGAAGAAGGCCUUCGGGUUGUAAAGCCCUUUUGUUGGGAAAGAAAUCCAGCUGGCUAAUACCCGGUUAGGAUGACGGUACCCAAAGAAUAAGCACCGGCUAACUUCGUGCCAGCCGCCGCCGUAA